rnacentral:misc_RNA from 1 species
GUCGGGAUCCCGCUUGGGAUCACCUACCUCGUAGCCGCGAAUCGCAUCCGUGCUGCGAAUCUCGCUGAUGAGGAGGUUCGUGAAGUAGCUCGGUCGAUCGAGCCAGUGAGAGACCGAGCUGGGAGAUCCGUAGCCGACCAGCCACUCAUCGAGGCGAAGCAGAGACGCCUGCUUGAUCACCGAGGGGCUGGUCUCAGCCACGUGCCAAAGGAAGCCUCUGAC